rnacentral:rRNA from 1 species
GCUGGCGGCAUGCCUAACACAUGCAAGUCGAACGGCAGCACAGCAGUAGCAAUACUGUGGGUGGCGAGUGGCGGACGGGUGAGUAAUGCAUCGGGACCUACCUCAACGUGGGGGAUAACGUAGGGAAACUUACGCUAAUACCGCAUACGUCCUACGGGAGAAAGCAGGGGACCUUCGGGCCUUGCGCGGUGAGACGGACCGAUGUGCGAUUAGCUAGUUGGUAAGGUAAUGGCUUACCAAGGCGACGAUCGCUAGCUGGUCUGAGAGGAUGACCAGCCACACUGGAACUGAGACACGGUCCAGACUCCUACGGGAGGCAGCAGUGGGGAAUAUUGGACAAUGGGCGCAAGCCUGAUCCAGCAAUGCCGCGUGUGUGAAGAAGGCCUUCGGGUUGUAAAGCACUUUUAUCAGGAACGAAAUACUACGGGUUAAUAACCUGUGGGGCUGACGGUACCUGAGGAAUAAGCACCGGCUAACUUCGUGCCAGCAGCCGCGGUAAUACGAAGGGUGCAAGCGUUAAUCGGAAUUACU